AAAAUAAAUAAAUAAAUAAACCACUUUAUAUAUGAUGCACGCACAUACAUUUAUCUGUAUCAUCAGAGAGUCAGACCCAAAGAAUCAAUCUUCAAAAUACACAGUUCAACAUUUCUCACUAGUUUAAUGGAGCAGGACCCACCAACCCAUAACACAUGAACUCACAUGCAAACUCCAUAAUGCUAGUGACAUAAAAUCUAUUGAUUGAGUCUAGGGAGGUUUCAUAAUCCUCCCUCACCAAUUACUCACACUUUCUUUUUCUUCCUUUCCUAUUUUUUUGCCUUUAUUUCAACUUUGUAUUAUAUAGAUUUAAACACCCUAGCAUUUUCAAUGCAAUAG
rnacentral:misc_RNA from 1 species